AGAAACCAAUAUGGCUGACACAUUGUAAUAAAUCUUGAACACAAUUUUGUACUGAAUAUAUUGAUAUGAUCAACAAAAGGGAUAAAUUCAUUUUUCAUUCAAGUUGAUGUGUCCUUGAAUCGUCUAUAGAAUUAGUUUCGAUACAUAUUCUCAAAGUGUUGAGAAUUAGAAAUAUGUAUUUAAUUCCUAAAUACUUUCGAUCAUAGGAUCAUUAUGAGGAUGGUGAUAGAUCCAGAUAGACUGACGCAUAAAUCACUUCAUUCGGGAUAGAUGGAUCUUUAAUCUAUUGUGUAGAGACACAGGGCGACAAGUGCGGGUGGUUGUGAGAGAACUAAUAUUGAGCGUGAUCAUAUGAGAGAUCACUUAAAUUUUUACUUGAUCGUCAGUGAUCGUCUCAAUACCGUAGUUGUGUGACUGGUCCUUUGAUUUGAGAUGGC
rnacentral:lncRNA from 1 species